AUUCGUUUGAGUUCUAACUCUGAUUCCCGUGAAUCCGGGCAGAGGACAGUGUCAGUUGGGCAGUUUGACUGGGGCGGUCUCCUCCAAAAGAGUAACGGAGGAGUUCAAAGGUACCCUCAGCCUGGUUGGCAAUCAGGCAUCGAGCGUAAAGGUAGAAGGGUGCUUGACUGCGAGACCCAUGAGUCGAGCAGAUACGAAAGUAGGACUUAGUGAUCCGGCGGUGCUGGAUGGAAAGGCCGUCGCUCAUCAGAUAAAAGGUACUCCGGGGAUAACAGGCUUAUCGCUUCCGAGCGUCCAUAGCGGCGAAGCGGUUUGGCACCUCGAUGUCGGCUCAUCACAUCCUGGGGGUGGAGAAGCUCCCAAGGGUUUGGCUGUUCGCCAAUGAAAGUGGUACGUGAGCUGGGUUCAGACCGUCGUGAGACAGGUCGGUCCCUAUCUGCUGUGGGCGCACGAAACUUGAGGGGAUUCUUCUUUAGUACGAGAGGAUUUGGAAGGACGUUCCUCUGGUGUUCCAGUUGUCACGCUAGUGGCACGGCUGGAUAGCUAAGAACGGAACGGAUAAACGCUGAAAGCAUAUAAGCGUGAAGCCCGCCCCAAGAUCAGGUUUCGUAGGGUUUAACCCGAAAGUCCCCUGGAAGACGACCAGGUUAAUAGGCCGGACGUGUACGUGCAGCAAUGCACUCAGCUAACCGGUACUAACGGACGAAUGCUUGACCAC
rnacentral:rRNA from 1 species